AGGCACAGUUCUAACGUUACCAUGUUCAGCUAAAGACCUGAGGAGCUCCAUGUGUAGCUUCCCCCGGUCUUGUGCCCCACAUAUUCCAGCUGUCCUCCCUAAACUCGUUUGUCUCUUAACCGCAGUGCUCUGCUUGGUACUUUCUCCCUCUGCCAUGACCCAGAAAGUGCUUCCACAUAGCCAUGGACUUGUCUCAUUUGUUUUCCUUAUUGGGGAUCACAGUUCUGCAUUGCCUGUUACCUAAUGUCUGAAAGCAGCUGUUUCACUAGUUGCUUACAUGGGAGGAAAAGUUCAGUGCCAUUUGUAUUUGUCAUAGCUGUAAGUGGGAAUCCAGUUACCAAAGAAUCCAUCAUAAGGUCCAGAAAUCAUUCCUUUUCUUAGAUGAGACUUAAAAGAGCAGAAGGCUACGUAGAGUAUUUUGUGACAUUAAUACCUUGAGACAUCAACCACUGUUUAAUUUCUUUUUUGAGGCAGGGUCACCCAGGCUGGAGUGUAGUGGCACAAUCUCAGCUCACUUGCAACCUCUACCUCCCAGGCUCAAACAAUCUUCCCACCUCAGUCUCCUAAGCAGUGGAUAGCUGGGACCACAGGCCCCUGCCACCACCACACCCAGCUAAUUUUUGUAUUUUUU
rnacentral:lncRNA from 1 species